rnacentral:tRNA from 1 species
UAAUGUAUCUCAGCCACCCCACUA